AGGAGGAUGGGCGGUCGCUGCUGCGCUAGGCGCAGUAGAGGAAAGUCCGAGCACCUCAUGAAUCAGGGUGCCUGCUAACGGCAGGGCGGGGCGACCCGACGGAAAGUGCCACAGAAAACAUACCGCCCGAUUAGCGAAAGCUUAUUGAGGUAAGGGUGAAAAGGUGCGGUAAGAGCGCACCGCUCGGAUGGUGACAUGCGAGGCAAGGUAAACCUCACUCGGUGCAAGACCAAAUAGGGAAGCGGUGACCGGAUUCGGGUAGCUUCCGGGUUGGUUGCUUGAGCCUGCGGGUAACUGUGGGCCUAGAUGGAUGGCCGUCGCUGGCUUCGGCAUGUUCGAAGCGAGUACAGGACUCGGCUUAUAGUCCGCCUC
rnacentral:RNase_P_RNA from 1 species